UUACGGGAGGCAGCAGUGAGGAAUAUUGCACAAUGGGCGCAAGCCUGAUGCAGCAACGCCGCGUGAGGGACGAAGGCCUUCGGGUCGUAAACCUCUUUUCUGAGAGACGAGCAAGGACGGUAUCUCAGGAAUAAGUCUCGGCUAACUACGUGCCAGCAGCCGCGGUAAAACGUAGGAGGCGAGCGUUAUCCGGAUUUACUGGGCGUAAAGCGCACGCAGGUGGCCCGCUAAGUUGGCUGUGAAAGCUCCUGGCUUAACUGGGAGAGGUCGGUCAAGACUGGCGGGCUUGAGGUUGGGAGAGGGGUGUGGAAUUCCCGGUGUAGUGGUGGAAUGCGUAGAUAUCGGGAGGAACACCAGUGGCGAAGGCGGCACCCUGGCCCACACCUGACGCUGAGGUGCGAAAGCGUGGGUAGCAAACAGGAUUAGAUACCCCGGU
rnacentral:rRNA from 1 species